GAUGAACGCUAGCGGCAGGCUUAACACAUGCAAGUCGAGGGGCAGCGCGGGAUAGCAAUAUCCUGGCGGCGACCGGCGGAAGGGUGCGUAACGCGUGAGCGACAUGCCCGUUGCCCGGGGACAACCGGUGGAAACGCCGACUAAUCCCCGAUGGGAUAUUGUGCCGCAUGGCACGAUAUUGAAAGUUACGGCGGCGACGGAUUGGCUCGCGUCCGAUUAGCUGGUAGGCGGGGUAACGGCCCACCAAGGCUGCGAUCGGUGGGGGUUCUGGGAGGAAGGCCCCCCACUAUGAGACUGAGGCACGGCCCAUGCUCCUACGGGAGGCAGCAGUGAGGAAUAUUGGUCAAUGGGCGGAAGCCUGAACCAGCCAUGCCGCGUGCGGGAAGGAGGCCCUAUGGGCUGUGAACCGCUUUUGCCUGGGGGCAAUAAGGGCGUCGCGCACGUCCGAUGAGAGUACCAGGCGAAUAAGCAUCGGCUAACUCCGUG
rnacentral:rRNA from 1 species